GACGAACGCUGGCGGCGUGCUUAACACAUGCAAGUCGAACGGAAAGGCCCUGCUUUUGUGGGGUGCUCGAGUGGCGAACGGGUGAGUAACACGUGAGUAACCUGCCCUUGACUUUGGGAUAACUUCAGGAAACUGGGGCUAAUACCGGAUAGGAGCUCCUGCUGCAUGGUGGGGGUUGGAAAGUUUCGGCGCUUGGGGAUGGACUCGCGCCUUAUCAGCUUGUUGGUGGGGUAGUGGCUUACCAAGGCUUUGACGGGUAGCCGGCCUGAGAGGGUGACCGGCCACAUUGGGACUGAGAUACGGCCCAGACUCCUACGGGAGGCAGCAGUGGGGAAUAUUGCACAAUGGGCGGAAGCCUGAUGCAGCAACGCCGCGUGCGGGAUGACGGCCUUCGGGUUGUAAACCGCUUUCGCCUGUGACGAAGCGUGAGUGACGGUAAUGGGUAAAGAAGCACCGGCUAACUACGUG
rnacentral:rRNA from 1 species